GUGGGGAAUAUUGGACAAUGGGCGAAAGCCUGAUCCAGCCAUGCCGCGUGUGUGAAGAAGGUCUUCGGAUUGUAAAGCACUUUAAGUUGGGAGGAAGGGCAGUAAGUUAAUACCUUGCUGUUUUGACGUUACCGACAGAAUAAGCACCGGCUAACUUCGUGCCAGCAGCCGCGGUAAUACGAAGGGUGCAAGCGUUAAUCGGAAUUACUGGGCGUCAAGCGCGCGUAGGUGGUUUUGUAAGUUGGAGGUGAAAUCCCCGGGCUCAACCUGGGAACUGCCUCCAAAACUGCAUGACUAGAGUACGGUAGAGAGUAGUGGAAUUUCCUGUGUAGCGGUGAAAUGCGUAGAGAUAGGAAGGAACACCAGUGGCGAAGGCGACUACCUGGACUGAUACUGACACUGAGGUGCGAAAGCGUGGGGAGCAAACAGGAUUAGAUACCCCAGUAGUCC
rnacentral:rRNA from 1 species